rnacentral:rRNA from 1 species
UGGGGAAUAUUGCACAAUGGAGGGAACUCUGAUGCAGCGACGCCGCGUAAGUGAUUAAGGACUUCGUUUCGUAAAACUCUGUUCUAUGGGAAGAAAAGGACUGUACCAUAGGAGAAAGCUCCGGCUAAAUACGUGCCAGCAGCCGCGGUAAUACGUAUGUAGCGAGCGUUGUCCGGAAUUAUUGGGCGAAAAGGGUGCGCAGGCGGCUUUACAAGUUGGAUGUGAAAUAUUGUGGCUCAACCACAAACGUGCAUCCAAAACUGCAAAGCUUGAGUUAAGGAGGGGUAAGUGGAAUUCCUGGCGUAGCGGUGGAAUGCCUAGAUAUCAGGAGGAAUACCGGUGGCGAAGGCGACUUACUGGACUUAAACUGAAGCUCAGGCACGAAAGAGUGGGGAGCAAACAGG